GUCUGUGUGAGUGAAAGACAGAGGGAGAGAGAGGGACAGAUUGAUGCUUAGUGUGAGCACUCAGGUCGCAUCAGAGCAUCGGGCGUAUAGUGUGAGACCCUGCAUCGUGACCUACGAACUUCUAACCCCUGCGAGUCAAUCGUACAGUUUGAGCAGGCGCUGAAUAACGCCACUGAAAAAUCGCACAGCGUAUGCCCAAGGCUCCGCCGAUGCUGAUGGAAAUGGACAAAACGUUAAGAAACGCAAAGCCAGAGGAACAGACUAACACACACUAAUGCUGUUUUUGACUUCUAUUUAUGCCCUUAGUAGGCGUGACCUAACGGCCGCACUUCAAAGCACGGCCGCACUUCAAAGCACUCAGCCUUUUGACGCGUCAUGUAAUCUUCCUUCUCAUGGCGCAACUCCUCCCACUCAUUCAUAAUCCGACCUCCGCGUUUGCACUCGUCCUACAAGAGCUCCCAAAUUUGAACAUCAUUGAUGUUCAUCGGAUUUACAGAGUGACGACAAACCCCGUCAGCAUGUUAGAUAAAGGAUUUAAGUUAUAUGCUGCAUCAUAUAUACACAACUACGAAGUGUCCAAAAAAACACAGGUUGACAGGGGAGGUCGGUGUGAGAGCCCUGUGCUACAGGUCAAUGAGGAAGAGUGAGGCACCACACAGACUAAGUAUUAAGCUUCUGGAUUCAUCGCCAGUGCUCCUGUGUGGCAGGUGCUGUUAUGUGCAAUCACACAGUGGCACUGCUCUUCCAAACAGCACACUACUCACAACUCAGAGUGCCGGUUGUCCCCCUGUGCAUAGCUGCACCGAAUCUGAACAGCAAUGGCACAAGCCACGGACAGUGGGUGUGAAGCCAGGACCUAUCAACUCUAUGAUCUUCACUAAGCCGGUACCAAAUAGGAUGGCCCAGACUGGAGUACGGAGUGGAUUCUACAGAGGCAUUGUGGGUCCAUUACCAGAUCCCUGACCUGACAAGCCCCUUGUGGAAAGUGCCUUUGGGCUGGUGCAGGAGGGCAGUGUUCUGUCAUGUCAGCAGCCGGUUUUGACAACCCGGUACAUCACACUACACCGUGAUGCACCACCAACACCGCACUUGCCUCUGGAGGGUAUGACAUCAAGGAAACCCUGCUCGCUCAGACAGCCUGUGAUAUUUUCUCAAACCGCUGCGCUGAACAAGUUUCCAAAGAACAUGCUGUGUGACACAAUAAAUAUCCUUUAACCUGUUAACCUGUGGCUUCUGGAAGAAACUCGGGUGAGUCAGUCACUGCAAACACAUUUGUAUCAUCAAGUGUUUGUCAAAUGAAAAUGAUAUGUUUUUCUACACUUAGGAUAAUUUUCUAUGUUGCAGUGCAGUAAAGUGCAUGUUUCUUCUGUGUUCAAUCAUACAUGUUCUAAUUGUUAUAAACAGAAAAAAUCUUUUCUUACUUAACUGCUUGAUUCUUAACUUGUUUAACUGAAACAUGAUGAAAUGUCAUAGUAUUAUUUUUUUUUAAAUGUCCUUGGCAGUGCAUGUGUCCGCAUUGUAACUUACUAAUAAAAAGUCCUGUGUGUACUUUGGUGUGUGUUUUAUGUUAUUUUAUUGCAAAUAAAUAAUAGUCAUUUGAUUUUACAGUUACACACAAUCUUAUAUCUCUGGCAUGGCAUGGCAAGGCAAUAUCGGGUACAUGCAAUUUGAAACCUGACAUUCCAGAGCAAAGCAUGAAGCACACAGCACGUGGUCAACGUGACUCAUAUGGAGACUGACA
ensembl:lncRNA